AACGAACGCUGGCGGCAGGCUUAACACAUGCAAGUCGAGCGCCCCGCAAGGGGAGCGGCAGACGGGUGAGUAACGCGUGGGAAUCUACCCAUCUCUACGGAAUAACUCAGGGAAACUUGUGCUAAUACCGUAUACGCCCUUAGGGGGAAAGAUUUAUCGGAGAUGGAUGAGCCCGCGUUGGAUUAGCUAGUUGGUGGGGUAAAGGCCUACCAAGGCGACGAUCCAUAGCUGGUCUGAGAGGAUGAUCAGCCACAUUGGGACUGAGACACGGCCCAAACUCCUACGGGAGGCAGCAGUGGGGAAUAUUGGACAAUGGGCGCAAGCCUGAUCCAGCCAUGCCGCGUGAGUGAUGAAGGCCUUAGGGUUGUAAAGCUCUUUCACCGGAGAAGAUAAUGACGGUAUCCGGAGAAGAAGCCCCGGCUAACUUCGUGCCAGCCGCCGCGGUAA
rnacentral:rRNA from 1 species